GAUGAAGAACGUAGCGAAAUGCGAAACGUAAUGUGAAUUGCAGAAUUCAGUGAAUCAUCGAGUCUUUGAACGCACAUUGCGCCCCCUGGUAUUCCGGGGGGCAUGCCUGUCCGAGCGUCAUUGCUGCCCUCAAGCACGGCUUGUGUGUUGGGCCUCCGUCCUCCUCCCGGGGGACGGGCCCGAAAGGCAGCGGCGGCACCGCGUCCGGUCCUCGAGCGUAUGGGGCUUCGUCACCCGCUCUUGUAGGCCCGGCCGGCGCUUGCCGACACAUCAAUCUUUUUUCCAGGUUGACCUCGGAUCAGGUAGGGAUACCCGCUGAACUUAAGCAUAUCAAUAAGCGGAGGA
rnacentral:misc_RNA from 1 species